rnacentral:rRNA from 1 species
AUUGAACGCUGGCGGCAGGCCUAACACAUGCAAGUCGAACGAGUGGCGGACGGGUGAGUAAUGUCUGGGAAACUGCCCGAUGGAGGGGGAUAACUACUGGAAACGGUAGCUAAUACCGCAUACCAUCGGAUGUGCCCAGAUGGGAUUAGCUAGUAGGUGGGGUAACGGCUCACCUAGGCGACGAUCCCUAGCCGGUCUGAGAGGAUGAACGGCCACAUUGGGACUGAGACACGGCCCAGACGCCUACGGGAGGCAGCAGUGGGGAAUAUUGCACAAUGGGCGCAAGCCGGAUGCAGCCAGGCCGCGUGGGUGAAGAAGGCCUUCGGGUUGUAAAGCACUUUCAGCGAGGAGGCGUUACUCGCAGAAGAAGCACCGGCUAACUCCGGGCCAGCCGCCGCGGUAAUUC